GAGGAUCAACACUUGGCUUAUGAUAUGCAAAAGUGAGGAAGCAGCAUUUCGAAACCUUAUGUUUUUCAAACAUUUCAAGCAAAUCUUGGUCAGUACAGACUUGGAUGUUGACCUUAGUGUCCAUGUAGUAAUAAAAAACUUUAACUAAGUCUCCAUAGCCAUGAGGAUUCUUGUCAACAACUUCAGCAACCAGGGAUCUGAAGUUAGUUCGAUCAGCAUCAACAACUUUGCUCAGCUC
rnacentral:lncRNA from 1 species